rnacentral:tRNA from 2 species
GCUGCGGUGACCGAGUGGUUAAGGAGAUGGACUUGAAAUCCAUUGGGUUCUACCCGCACAGGUUCGAAUCCUGUCCGCAGCG